ensembl:lncRNA
CUUCAGAUCAGCUUACAACACUCAGGGAGGAAAGGGCUCAGCUAAGGAGGAGGAAAGGGCUCAGCCAAGGAGGAGGAAAGGGCUCAGCUAAGGAGAAGGAAAGGGCUCAGCUAAGGAGGAUGAAAGGGCUCAGCUAAGGAGAAGGAAAGGGCUCAGCUAAGGAGGAGGAAAGGGCUCAGCCAAGGAGGAGGAGAGGGCUCAGCUAAGGAGGAGGAAAGGGCUCAGCCAAGGAGGAAAGGGCUCAGUUAAGGAGAAGGAAAGGGCUCAGCCAAGGAGGAGGAAAGGGCUCAGCUAAGGAGGAGGAAAGGGCUCAGCCAAGGAGGAGGAGAGGGCUCAGCUAAGGAG